CCUAGGGGGGGCAGCAGUGGGGAAUAUUGGACAAUGGGCGAAAGCCUGAUCCAGCCAUGCCGCGUGUGUGAAGAAGGCCUUCGGGUUGUAAAGCACUUUCAGUGGGGAAGAAAGCCUUGGGGCUAAUACCCUCGAGGAAGGACAUCACCCACAGAAGAAGCACCGGCUAACUCCGUGCCAGCAGCCGCGGUAAUACGGAGGGUGGGAGCGUUAAUCGGAAUUACUGGGCGUAAAGCGCGCGUAGGCGGUCUGAUAAGCCGGUUGUGAAAGCCCCGGGCUCAACCUGGGAACGGCAUCCGGAACUGUCAGGCUAGAGUGCAGGAGAGGAAGGUAGAAUUCCCGGUGUAGCGGUGAAAUGCGUAGAGAUCGGGAGGAAUACCAGUGGCGAAGGCGGCCUUCUGGACUGACACUGACGCUGAGGUGCGAAAGCGUGGGUAGCAAACAGGAUUAGAUACCCCAGUAGUC
rnacentral:rRNA from 1 species